AAAAAGACAAAUCCUGGUUACCGUGUCCAACGUUUGGCCGUGCGUCUUAUUUGAAAAAAUGAUAAAAAAAUUAAAAUGAUAAGUCACGCAUAAAGUAUUAAUCAUGUUUUAUCAUAUAACAACAAUGAAAAUACUAAUUAUAAAAAAAUUUAUAUAAGACGGGCAGUCAAACGUUGGUACGGGAACUCACAGUUUGCCUUUUU
rfam:Oryza sativa Japonica Group DNA, chromosome 3, cultivar: Nipponbare, complete sequence.